CCUUGGACAGCACAUUUCUUUGGCUUGGUGUUGGUGAGUAACCAGGACAUCCCUUUGAGCCCCUCAUUCUGAAACCCAUCAAUCUUGUUUUCUCCAAAACCACUGCAGAAAGAUGGAUAAGAAAAGUAGCCUGGAAACAGGAAUUGAGCUCAGAACUUGCAGUAUGUCUUGUCCUUUGCCUGAGGGGAGCCUCCUGAGCCUUGCUGACAGAUGUCUCAGUCUGGGAAGCUCCAGCAUGCUUUGCUUAGUGUCUCUCCGCCAAGACGGCGCCCGAGAUUAUAACUCUUCUAAUCUGAGCGCAAAGAAAGUGGACCCACCACUAAGACAUCUAGG